UACGUAGGGGGCUAGCGUUGUCCGGAUUUAUUGGGCGUAAAGGGCGCGUAGGCGGCCAUGCGUGUCUUCCGUGAAAUCCCUCGGCUUAACUGAGGACGUGCGGAAGAAACUGCAAGGCUUGAGUCCGGGAGAGGGGGGUGGAAUUCCCAGUGUAGCGGUGAAAUGCGUAGAUAUUGGGAGGAACACCGGUGGCGAAGGCGGCCCCCUGGACCGGUACUGACGCUGAGGCGCGAAAGCGUGGGUAGCAAACGGG
rnacentral:rRNA from 1 species